rnacentral:rRNA from 1 species
CCCUUAGAUGUUCCGGGCCGCACGCGCGCUACACUGAUGCAUUCAACGAGUCUAAAACCUGCUCUGAUAGGGGUGGGUAAUCUUUUGAAUGUGCAUCGUGAUUGGGAUAGAUGAUUGCAAUUUUUCAUCUUCAACGAGGAAUGCCUAGUAAACGCAAGUCAUCAGCUUGCAUUGAUUACGUCCCUGCCCUUUGUACACACCGCCCGUCGCUCCUACCGAUUGAAUGAUCCGAUGAAUAUCAUGGAUUGAGGAUUAUAGCAGGUUCGCCUGUCUUGAUCUUCGAGAAGUGAAGUAAAUCUUAUCAUUUAGAGGAAGGAGAAGUCGUAACA